UAUAUAUUAGCAAGCAAUCAAUUUCAAAAACUUCUAGCAAGCAAUUUUGACAGAGACUGAUCAACAUAUUCUUAUCCUCUGUAUGCUGGAGCGCCUUGAAGCCGAGAGAGAGGCAGCGGAUGGAAGGAAAGCGGACGUUGGCCACGAUGUCGCUGAGUCGCAGCCGGAUGAGAAAAGCUCGAGUGUUGAUGAGCAGAAGACGGCGUUGGAGAAACUGUCCAGCGGUACAGAGCUGCUGAGCCUCUCCACCUCGGACAGGAGCGGACAAGUGGAGGACAGCGAGGAAGGAGUGUCCAAGUGUCUCAUUCAAGACUUGGUAAACAAGAAUCAGGAGCUCAAGGAGGAGAUAUACAGCCUGAAGAAAGAAGUGGAGACGCUUAAAAAUCAGCUUAGUCAGAUCUUGCUAAACCAACAAGAUCGUCUGGUCUUUGUAUCUGGUGGAGCCCUACACCAGCUAACUGGCCAGGCCCAGUCCCAGGUCAGCAGGGAGGUUGAGCAUGUCCCAGAGACACUGGAAGCUCUGACGGACGUAGGGGAACUACAGAAGAAGCAAAGAAAUAAAAAAAAGUAAACAAACGCUGAAAAGCGGGAAAAGAAGAAACAAAAGACCAAA
ensembl:lncRNA